UUCAAACCCCCAGCCGGCGAGGAGUUAGUUCCAUCCAUCCAUCCAUUUCCUACCGCUUAUUCCCUUUCGGGGUCGCGGGGGGCUAGUUGUGUAAUCUAAUUUACCGACGUGUCUAACAACGAAAAUGCAAUUUAGCACAACAAACAUGAAGAUAAAAGCUCAAAAUGAACACCGACUAACUGUUGGUAGCAGCUCGAAGUUGUUUUUUUCCAGGAAGAAGAUAGGAAGAUAAUGGAGGUCUUUGAUGUGUGGGUGACUUGACAGGUUUUUACCGUCCAAGGACAGGAAUGCCUUCGACGUCUGCAUUGUCAUCGUGGCAAAUAUCAGUUCAAUCCAUAGUGGAUCCAACACAGCCGCGAGAGUCCAGUCCAAAGCGGACCCAACACAGCGGCGAGAGUCCCGUCCACAGCGGAGCCAGCAGGAAACCAUCCCAAACGGAGGCGGAUCAGCAGCGCAGGGAUGUCCCAAGCCGAUACACAGGCAAGCGGUCCAUCCUGGGUCCUGACUCUGGACGAGCGGUCCAUCCUGGGUCCCGACUCUGGACGAGCGGUCCAUUCUCGGUCCCUACUCUGGACAGCCAGUACUUCAUCCAUGGCCAUCGGACCGGACCCCCUCCAUAAGGGAGAGUGGGACAUAGGAGUAAAAGAAAAUAAACGACAGAUCAACUGGUCUAAAAAGGGAGUCUAUUUAAAGGCUAGAGUAUACAAAUGAGUUUUAAGGUGAGACUUAAAAGCUUCUACUGAGGUGGCAUCUCGAACUGUUACCGGGAGGGCAUUCCAGAGUACUGGAGCCCGAAUGGAAAACGCUCUAUAGCCCGGAGACUUUUUUUGGGCUUUGGGAAUCACUAAUAAACCAGAGUCCUUUGAACGCAGAUUUCUUGCCGGGACAUAUGGUACAAUACAAUCGGCAAGAUACAUGUAUCAUGUAUCAUAACAUGGAAAUCUAAGAGAACGUUUUGUGAAUUAGGAUACUUGUGGACUGGGGAUUUUUUUUCUUUUCUUUUUUUUACCUGCGCUCUGAAUACGCACUGUUGAUUGAUUGAUUGAUUGAAACUUUUAUUAGUAUAUUGCACAGUACAGAACAUAUUCCGUACAAUUGACCACUAAAUGGUAACACCCAAAUAAGUUUUUCAACGAGUUUAAAUCGGGGUCCACGUUAAUCAAUUCAUGGUAAAAAGGUAAUGGGUUCGAGCUGGAUUUGAACAAGUCCCCUUAGGAACUCGGCAUGAACAAACUACAGUCCUCCACGGUACCAACUGAGCUAUCCUACCGCUUGUCCCUUUUGGGGUCGCAGAGGGUGCUGGAGCCUAUCCCAGCUGCACAUGGGCGGAAGGCGGUGUACACCCUGGACCUUAUCUCAGGCCCAAUACAGAUGGACAGACAACAUUCACACACUAGGGCCAAUUUACUGUUGCCAAUCAACCUAUCCCCAGGUGCAUGUCUUUGGAGGUGGGAGGAAGCUGGAGUACCCGGAAGGAACCCACGCAUUCACGGGGAGGGCAUGCAAACUCCACACAGAAAGAUCCCGAACCCCGGACCUUCGUAUUGUGAGGCACACGUACUACCCCUGUGCUUUUGAUGUCAAUAUAGAAAAAUAAUAUAUAAAUGCUCUUAUUUCUAAAAUGUGUAUUAAUGUCCUUAACAUGUUCUGUAGUUAUUUAUUAAACCAUUUCCCUUGAUUUUUGGA